UACGUAGGGGGCAAGCGUUGUCCGGAUUUAUUGGGCGUAAAGAGCGUGUAGGCGGCCAUACAGGUCAGCUGUGAAAAACUCGAGGCUCAACCUCGAGACGUCGGUUGAAACCGUUUGGCUAGAGUCCGGAAGAGGAGAGUGGAAAUUCCCGGUGUAGCGGUGAAAUGCGCAGAUAUCAGGAGGAACACCAAUGGCGAAGGCAGCUCGCUGGGACGGUACUGACGCUGGAGACGCGAAAAGCGUGGGGGAGCAAACAGG
rnacentral:rRNA from 1 species